CCCCGCCCCCGGCGGCGGAAGCGGCCCGGAGCGGCCCCCGCGCCCAGCGCAGUGCGCCCGCCCGGCCGUGGGCCGUACCACCGCGCGUGGGGGGAGCCGCGAGGGGCUGCGAGGCGGCUGGCCGUGGGAGUCAGGGCGCCAAGGCUGAGUGUCGGGGAGCGGAGGCGGACUCCCGAAGUCCGGAAGUACGGACCGUUCAGGAAACCCGGCAGAGGGCGGAGGGCGGCCCCCAGUCCUCGGCCGGGCCCGCCCCUGCCCAAACCCGGCAUCCUCGGAGCGGAUGAAAAGACGCAUUCAUUCCAGGCGGGCGGGCGGAGGACGAGAUGAAUAGGGAGGGUCCGAGUGUCCCUGCUCCCUGGGGCGUACAAUGGACAAGGACGUUCAUUCAUUCAUUCGUUCACGCGUCAAAUAUUUAACGUGCCCUUGCUCCAGGCCAGGCUUUGGCCUAUCUCUGCUCCUGGUGGAGGGAACAGUGCGUGCAAAGGCCUAGAGGACGGCCGGAGGGAUCCAGCACGCUUUAUUUAGGAUGGUGCACUCUCGGAGGAGCUGGCAAAGCCGUGUGAAAGGGUGCAGCGGUGCGGGGAGCGGCGCGAGAUGGCCUGCUCGCGUGUUGCUUAGACCGGCGAAUACUUACUGAGCACAUACUCCGUGCUACACUACGAAGGGCGCCCAGCUCGCCGCGGUCCUGCCCUCGGGGAGCUGACCUUCCAUGAGUCUGUCUCCUCCAGCUGACUGUCCCCCACCCCGGUCCCGCACAGAGCCGGGUCUCAGCACAAGUGUGGAUGAAAGGACCAGGAAGUGAAGAUCCAUCUGUAUUGCUAAUGUCUUGAAUCUGUUUUCUUCUAACUGAGCCUUGGUGCCCCACGGAAUGCACCCCUUCCGUCUGAGUCCUCUGUUCCCCAGGGACGGACACCAGGCAGCCUCCAGCUCACCACACCACAGUGAACAGCCACGGAUAUGCCCCCUUAGGGACCUGGGGAGAGCCUCCACAGAAGAGAGACCUGGCUGCAGAGGUGCUGGGGCACAGGGCGAACUCAACUACUACGUGGCCCCCAGAGCAGCUGCCCCCAUCACACCCACUGACAGUGGGGGAGAGUCCCACGUCCCCAUAUCUCCGCCAGCCACUGGUAUUAUCCAGCUUCUAAUUUUUGCCACUCUGACUCACUGUCAAGUGACAUCCUAUUGCUUUACUUUACGUUUCUCUGAUUUCUAAUCACUUUGUGCAUCUCUUCCUUGGCUUGAUGGCCUGCGGGUCUUCCUCUUCUGUAAACGCCCGUUCAGACUCUGCCUAUGUCUCGCUGGGGGUUGCUGUCUUGUUCUUGUUGAUUUGCAUGUGUUCCUCAGACUCUAGAUCUGCACUGUCCCAUCUGAUCCAACGUGAACUCUCCACUCUCCACACAUGGCUCCUGAGCACUUGAAGUGUGGCUAAUGCAAACUGAGCUGUCCGGUCAGUGGAAAGCACACCGGCUUUCUAAGACUUAGUACAAACAGAAGGGUAUAUCACAUCUUGUUAACUCAUUUUAUACUGAUUCCAUGUCACAGUAAUAGUAAUGUUGAUGUAUUGGGCUAAAUAAAGUGUAUUCAAAUUAA